ACCAAACUACUUAGAGAUUAAUUUCCAUUUUCAAAUCUAUCAUCCCAAAUUGCAUUUAAAAGAACCAUAAACAAACCACAUCUUUGCUUAAACCAAAAGAGAAAAAAAACUACAAGUUUUAUGUAGGAGACAAAAACAUAUAUACAAAGCCAAUAAAACAUAAGCUUCUAUAACAAUUAAAGUAGUCAACUUACAAGUGGAACAUUGUGUGUUACCUUGACCCAAAAGAGAAGUUACUAAAACAAAAAAAUGGCCUGAAGUUUCACUAGCAACGGCCACAGCAGUUACUGAACUUCCAUUGUACAGGACUUCACAAGCUUAUCUUUCAAAUCCCUUACUUCUCCAACGAGACGACUCAAAU
rnacentral:lncRNA from 1 species